rfam:Rattus norvegicus chromosome 5, whole genome shotgun sequence.
GGGGACUUAGCUCAGUGGUAGAGCACUUGCCUAGUAAGCGCAAGGCCCUGGGUUCGGUCCCCAGCUCCG